UACGUAGGGGGCAAGCGUUGUCCGGAAUCAUUGGGCGUAAAGAGCGUGUAGGCGGCCAGAAAAGUCCGCUGUGAAAACUCGAGGCUCAAUUCGAUCGAGCUGUCGGUGGAAACUUUCUGGCUAGAGUCCGGAAGAGGAGAAUGGAAUUCCUGGUGUAGCGGUGAAAUGCGCAGAUAUCAGGAAGAACACCCGUGGCGAAGGCGGUUCUCUGGGACGGUACUGACGCUGAGACGCGAAAGCGUGGGGAGCGAACAGG
rnacentral:rRNA from 1 species